AAAGUUUUUUUUAACAUGGACACUUCAUGAUGGUUGAACAAAAGGUAACAUUAUCUUAUUCAAGCUAAAAAACCCACCAGCCCAUUGUGAAAGAAGAAGAAGCGGGGCAAAAACCGCGCCAGUAAACAGGGCAAACUGUCUUUGAUUUGUAGUUAUAUUGAGGCCAGAGUUUAACUAGUGAAUGCCUUAAUUGAGGCGAAAUAGAAGACAUGGCAGAUGGGUCAUCCUCCUCCGAUUCCUUCCAUCUACUCAAAGAAGUAAAAAGCCACGAGGUUGCCAUUGCUGAGCUUAAUUGUCUUCCGUCAUCUCGGACUGUCUAUCAGAAGAAUGCAAACAUAUUUUUUCGUACAACUAUUCAGAAAGCAACAGCAUUGGAGCAGAAACAUCUUGAAGCGGCCAAACGUAAGCUAGAUUCACUGAAUGCUUCUUGAUUUCACUUGGCCUAUUACAACUUUAUGUUGAACCUGCCGGUACGUUUGAGACUAGAACAAUUUAGCUCCAACAGCAGAUGCUUUGAUUCUUCAUCACUCUCAGGGAGCAUGCUCUAGCCCCAUCUAAAACCUGUAAUUUCUUAGAAUUCCUGGAUUCAACCCAUGUAUGAACUAUUUGACACAAUUUCUUUGGCUGUGAUGAUUUGAUGUUUUAGAGUU